CGGAGCCGCAGUGGGAAUGAGGAUAAGAUUUCAUUCCUCUUGUCGAGAGAUUGUGGUCAAAGGAAGCGGCAGGAGGAAAUGCCUCAAAUAAUGGGUAACUGAAACGGCAAAGAAGGUUGGCAGGGGAGCAAACUAGCACCAGUUCAAGGGAUCCGGUCUCCAGGCGCAAACCCACACAUCUCCAUGAUGCUUCGUGUUACAGACCCUGGCUCUGGCCACACACCCUGGUUGUAUUCUGGACCAAUGAGGGAACCAGUGCCAGACCAUCUGGAUUUCUGAAAAAUUGGAUGUUGGAUUAUUGGAGGAUCUAAAGCCAGAUGGUAAUAAGCUGUUUAUAAACAGAUGGCACUGCUUUCUUAAUUCUGGACUGGGCAAAAUAUUGUCAUCACUCAUAGAAAAAUUGAAGUUAAAAUGGCUCCCAAGAGAAUUGUCUACAAAUGAGCCCUGUUAUGUGGAGUUACUGCAUUAAAGGUGCUACUUAAAUUUUAUUUGUGAUAGUAUCUCCA